rnacentral:rRNA from 1 species
CCCUAGUAACGGCGAGCGAAACGGGAAGAGCCCAUCGUGAAAAUCUCCUCUCCUGAGGCGAAUUGUAGUGUACAGAGCUGGUCCCUACUGCCACCCCGGCCCAAGUGCUGUGGAAGCGGCCGUCGUAGAGGGUGAGAGCCCCGUCGGCCGGGUGCUGGCAGUUCCACGGGAGCGGACUCGCAGAGUCGGGUUGUUUGGGAAUGCAGCCCUAAGUUGGUGGUAAGUCCCAUCUAAGGCUAAAUACUGGCGAGAGACCGAUAGCGAACAAGUACCGUGAGGGAAAGAUGAAAAGAACUUUGAAAAGAGAGUCAAAAAGUGCUUGAAAUUGUUGAGGGGGAAGCCAUUGGCUGGUCGAGAUGCGCCCGGGCUCUAAGCUGGCUUAACGGCCUGUGUCACGCGCCGGGCGCCUGUCAGCCUGGGUUCGGCGUGCGGGAGAAACCCGCCUCUGUCGGCGGUCUAUGCCGCGCGCCGG